rnacentral:piRNA from 1 species
UGGACAGUGGAACGGAAUGGACAGCG